rnacentral:rRNA from 1 species
GAUGAACGCUGGCGGCGUGCUUAACACAUGCAAGUCGAACGGAAAGGCCCAAGCUUGCUUGGGUACUCGAGUGGCGAACGGGUGAGUAACACGUGGGUGAUCUGCCCUGCACUUCGGGAUAAGCUUGGGAAACUGGGUCUAAUACCGGAUAGGACCACACUUUGGAUGGUGUGGUGGAAAGUUUUUCGGUGUGGGAUGAGCUCGCGGCCUAUCAGCUUGUUGGUGGGGUAAUGGCCUACCAAGGCGUCGACGGGUAGCCGGCCUGAGAGGGUGUACGGCCACAUUGGGACUGGGAUACGGGCCAGACUCCUACGGGAGGCAGCAGGGUGGAGUAUGGCACAAUGGGCGCGAGCCUGAUGCAGCGACGCCGCGUGGGGGAUGACGGCCUUCGGGUUGUAGACUCCUUUCGCUAGGGACGAAGCGUUUUUGUGACGGUACCUGGAGAAGAAGCACCGGCUAACUACGUG